UACGUAGGUGGCAAGCGUUGUCCGGAUUUACUGGGCGUAAAGGGUGCGUAGGCGGACCUUUAAGUGAGAUGUGAAAUCCCCGAGCUUAACUUGGGGGCUGCAUUUCAAACUGGAGGUCUAGAGUGCAGGAGAGGAGAGUGGAAUUCCUAGUGUAGCGGGAAAUGCGUAGAGAUUAGGAAGAACACCAGUGGCGAAGGCGACUCUCUGGACUGUAACUGACGCUGAGGCACGAAAGCGUGGGGAGCAAACAGG
rnacentral:rRNA from 1 species